AUUGAACGCUGGCGGCAUGCUUUACACAUGCAAGUCGAGCGGCAGCGCGGGGGCAACCCUGGCGGCGAGCGGCGAACGGGUGAGUAAUGCAUCGGAACGUGUCCCGUAAUGGGGGAUAACGCCGCGAAAGCGGCGCUAAUACCGCAUACGCUCUACGGAGGAAAGUGGGGGAUCUGCAAGGACCUCACGUUAGGGGAGCGGCCGAUGUCCGAUUAGCUAGUUGGUGGGGUAACGGCCUACCAAGGCGACGAUCGGUAGCUGGUCUGAGAGGAUGAUCAGCCACACUGGGACUGAGACACGGCCCAGACUCCUACGGGAGGCAG
rnacentral:rRNA from 1 species